rnacentral:rRNA from 1 species
GACGAACGCUGGCGGCGUGCUUAACACAUGCAAGUCGAGCGGUAAGGCCCUUUCGGGGGUACGACGAGCGGCGAACGGGUGAGUAACACGUGGGUGACCUGCCCUUAGCUCUGGGAUAAGCCUGGGAAACGUGGGUCUAAUACCGGAUAUGACUCCAUGACGCAUGUUGUGGGGUGGAAAGCCUUGUGCGGCUAGGGAUGGGCCCGCGGCCUAUCAGCUUGUUGGUGGGGUGAUGGCCACCAAGGCGACGACGGGUAGCCGGCCUGAGAGGGCGACCGGCCACACUGGGAC